rnacentral:rRNA from 1 species
AGCAGUCGCCGCGGGAAUACGUAGGUCCCGAGCGUUGUCUGGAAUUAUUGGGCGUAAAGCGCGCGCAGGCGGAUAGGUCAGUCUGUCUUAAAAGUUCGGGGCUUAACCCCGUGAUGGGAUGGAAACUGCCAACCUAGAGUAUCGGAGAGGAAAGUGGAAUUCCUAGUGUAGCGGUGAAAUGCGUAGAUAUUAGGAAGAACACCAGUGGCGAAGGCGACUUUCUGGACGAAAACUGACGCUGAGGCGCGAAAGCCAGGGGAGCGAACGGGAUUAGAUACCCCGGUAGUCCCUGUCUCUUAUACA